rnacentral:rRNA from 1 species
GUAGGUGGCAAGCGUUGUCCGGAAUUAUUGGGCGUAAAGCGCGCGCAGGCGGGGUCCUUUAAGUCUGAUGUGAAAGCCCACGGCUCAACCGUGGAGGGUCAUUGGAAACGUGGGGGACUUGAGUACAGAAGAGGAAAGCGGAAUUCCAAGUGUAGCGGUGAAAUGCGUAGAGAUUUGGAGGAACACCAGUGGCGAAGGCGGCUUUCUGGUCUGUAACUGACGCUGAGGCGCGAAAGCGUGGGGAGCAAACAGGAUUAGAUACCCUGGUAGUCCACGCCGUAAACGAUGAGUGCUAAGUGUUAGGGGGUUUCCGCCCCUUAGUGCUGCAGCUAACGCAUUAAGCACUCCGCCUGGGGAGUACGGCCGCAAAGGCUG